UCAGGAUGAACGCUAGCGGCAGGCCUAAUACAUGCAAGUCGUACGGUAAAGUCCCCUCGGGGAUGAGAGUGGCGGACGGGUGCGUAACGCGUAUGCAACCCACCCCCGACGGGCGGAUAGCCGGUGGAAACGCCGGAUAACCCGCCAUGCGGCCCCACAGGGGCAUCCCUGUGGCGUCAAAGCGGCGACGCGGUCGGGGACGGGCAUGCGUCCCAUUAGAUGGUUGGCGGUGCAAUGGACCACCAAGUCUACGAUGGGUAGGGGAUCUGAGAGGACGGUCCCCCCACACUGGUACUGAGACACGGACCAGACUCCUGCGGGAGGCAGCAGUAAGGGAUAUUGGUCAAUGGGCGAGAGCCUGAACCAGCCAAGUAGCGUGCAGGACGACGGCCCUACGGGUUGUAAACUGCUUUUAUGCGGGGAUAAAGUCCACUACGUGUAGUGGUUUGCAGGUACCGCAUGAAUAAGGACCGGCUAAUUCCGUGCCAGCCGCGGC
rnacentral:rRNA from 1 species